CGGUGAGUAGUCGAGCUCUCUCUUGGGACAAAGAGAAGAUAUCGUUUUUUUUUUUGUGUGAUUGUUCUUCCAGAGGAUAUAGCUUCCGGGAGCCAAAGGCUGGUCUGGAGCUGGAUGUGGAGCACUGUCGCGGCGGUCCAGAUCCUUUUUUCCAUGCUUUAGAAAAGAUAAAAUCUACACAACAGUGUAAUAGACAGUUCUAAUACACCACACUGUCACUUACGCUUGCUAUAGGUAGGUUUAGGGUUUAUCCCUCCUCUUCUAUGCGAUGGACGCGAGCGCGAUGAAAUC
rnacentral:lncRNA from 1 species